rnacentral:rRNA from 1 species
AUUAGAGUUUGAUCAUGGCUCAGAUUGAACGCUGGCGGCAGGCUUAACACAUGCAAGUCGAGCGGAGAGAGGUAGCUUGCUACUGAUCUUAGCGGCGGACGGGUGAGUAAUGCUUAGGAAUCUGCCUAUUAGUGGGGGACAACAUUUCGAAAGGAAUGCUAAUACCGCAUACGUCCUACGGGAGAAAGCAGGGGAUCUUCAGACCUUGCGCUAAUAGAUGAGCCUAAGUCGGAUUAGCUAGUUGGUGGGGUAAAGGCCUACCAAGGCGACGAUCUGUAGCGGGUCUGAGAGGAUGAUCCGCCACACUGGGACUGAGACACGGCCCAGACUCCUACGGGAGGCAGCAGUGGGGAAUAUUGGACAAUGGGCGCAAGCCUGAUCCAGCCAUGCUGCGUGUGUGAAGAAGGCCUUAUGGUUGUAAAGCACUUUAAGCGAGGAGGAGGCUACUUUAGAUAAUACCUAGAGAUAGUGGACGUUACUCGCAGAAUAAGCACCGGCUAACUCUGUGCCAGCAGCCGCGGUAAUACAGAGGGUGCAAGCGUUAAUCGGAUUUACUGGGCGUAAAGCGCGCGUAGGCGGCUAAUUAAGUCAAAUGUGAAAUCCCCGAGCUUAACUUGGGAAUUGCAUUCGAUACUGGUUAGCUAGAGUGUGGGAGAGGAUGGUAGAAUUCCAGGUGUAGCGGUGAAAUGCGUAGAGAUCUGGAGGAAUACCGAUGGCGAAAGGCAGCCAUCUGGCCUAACACUGACGCUGAGGUGCGAAAGCAUGGGGAGCAAACAGGAUUAGAUACCCUGGUAGUCCAUGCCGUAAACGAUGUCUACUAGCCGUUGGGGCCUUUGAGGCUUUAGUGGCGCAGCUAACGUGAUAAGUAGACCGCCUGGGGAGUACGGUCGCAAGACUAAAACUCAAAUGAAUUGACGGGGGCCCGCACAAGCGGUGGAGCAUGUGGUUUAAUUCGAUGCAACGCGAAGAACCUUACCUGGCCUUGACAUAGUAAGAACUUUCCAGAGAUGGAUUGGUGCCUUCGGGAACUUACAUACAGGUGCUGCAUGGCUGUCGUCAGCUCGUGUCGUGAGAUGUUGGGUUAAGUCCCGCAACGAGCGCAACCCUUUUCCUUAUUUGCCAGCGAGUAAUGUCGGGAACUUUAAGGAUACUGCCAGUGACAAACUGGAGGAAGGCGGGGACGACGUCAAGUCAUCAUGGCCCUUACGGCCAGGGCUACACACGUGCUACAAUGGUCGGUACAAAGGGUUGCUACCUAGCGAUAGGAUGCUAAUCUCAAAAAGCCGAUCGUAGUCCGGAUUGGAGUCUGCAACUCGACUCCAUGAAGUCGGAAUCGCUAGUAAUCGCGGAUCAGAAUGCCGCGGUGAAUACGUUCCCGGGCCUUGUACACACCGCCCGUCACACCAUGGGAGUUUGUUGCACCAGAAGUAGCUAGCCUAACUGCAAAGAGGGCGGUUACCACGGUGUGGCCGAUGACUGGGGUGAAGUCGUAACAAGGUAACCGUAGAAUC